AAACUAUCCCACCAACCAACCUCAGAACCAGGACCCCAUAUCAAUUCCAUUGAAUGAAAAUUUCCUUCCCCUGCAAAACAACCUUUGGAAAAGCAGGUCCUCUACACCAGCACCUUUGGAUACAUCUCCAUUUUUUUUUUGCUCAAG
rnacentral:lncRNA from 14 species